GAUGAACGCUGGCGGCGUGCCUAAUACAUGCGAGUCGAGCGAACGGACGAGAAGCUUGCUUCUCUGAUGUUAGCGGCGGACGGGUGAGUAACACGUGGAUAACCUACCUAUAAGACUGGGAUAACUUCGGGAAACCGGAGCUAAUACCGGAUAAUAUUUUGAACCGCAUGGUUCAAAAGUGAAAGACGGUCUUGCUGUCACUUAUAGAUGGAUCCGCGCUGCAUUAGCUAGUUGGUAAGGUAACGGCUUACCAAGGCAACGAUGCAUAGCCGACCUGAGAGGGUGAUCGGCCACACUGGAACUGAGACACGGUCUAGACUCCUACGGGAGGCAGCAGUAGGGAAUCUUCCGCAAUGGGCGAAAGCCUGACGGAGCAACGCCGCGUGAGUGAUGAAGGUCUUCGGAUCGUAAAACUCUGUUAUUAGGGAAGAACAUAUGUGUAAGUAACUGUGCACAUCUUGACGGUACCUAAUCAGAAAGCCACGGCUAACUACGUG
rnacentral:rRNA from 1 species